AUGUGGAGCCGUAGCGAAAGCGAGUCUGAAUAGGGCGUUGAGUAUUUGGUCGUAGACCCGAAACCAGGUGAUCUACCCAUGGUCAGGUUGAAGUUCAGGUAACACUGAAUGGAGGACCGAACCGACUUACGUUGAAAAGUGAGCGGAUGAACUGUGGGUAGCGGAGAAAUUCCAAUCGAACUUGGAGAUAGCUGGUUCUCUCCGAAAUAGCUUUAGGGCUAGCCUCAAGUGAUGAUUAUUGGAGGUAGAGCACUGUUUGGACGAGGGGCCCCUCUCGGGUUACCGAAUUCAGACAAACUCCGAAUGCCAAUUAAUUUAACUUGGGAGUCAGAACAUGGGUGAUAAGGUCCGUGUUCGAAAGGGAAACAGCCCAGACCACCAGCUAAGGUCCCAAAAUAUAUGUUAAGUGGAAAAGGAUGUGGCGUUGCCCAGACAACUAGGAUGUUGGCUUAGAAGCAGCCAUCAUUUAAAGAGUGCGUAAUAGCUCACUAGUCGAGUGACACUGCGCCGAAAAUGUACCGGGGCUAAACAUAUUACCGAAGCUGUGGAUUGUCCGUAGGACAAUGGUAGGAGAGCGUUCUAAGGGCGUUGAAGCAUGAUCGCAAGGACAUGUGGAGCGCUUAGAAGUGAGAAUGCCGGUGUGAGUAGCGAAAGACGGGUGAGAAUCCCGUCCACCGAUUGACUAAGGUUUCCAGAGGAAGGCUCGUCCGCUCUGGGUUAGUCGGGUCCUAAGCUGAGGCCGACAGGCGUAGGCGAUGGAUAACAGGUUGAUAUUCCUGUACCACCUAGCAUCGUUUUAAUCGAUGGGGGGACGCAGUAGGAUAGGCGAAGCGUACGAUUGGAUUGUACGUCUAAGCAGUGAGAUUGAGUGUUAGGCAAAUCCGGCACUCUUAAGAUUGAGCUGUGAUGGGGAGAGGAAAUUGUUUCCUCGAGUCGUUGAUUUCACACUGCCGAGAAAAGCCUCUAGAUAGAUAAUAGGUGCCCGUACCGCAAACCGACACAGGUAGUCAAGAUGAGAAUUCUAAGGUGAGCGAGCGAACUCUCGUUAAGGAACUCGGCAAAAUGACCCCGUAACUUCGGGAGAAGGGGUGCUCUUUAGGGUGCAAGCCCAGAAGAGCCGCAGUGAAUAGGCCCAAGCGACUGUUUAUCAAAAACACAGGUCUCUGCUAAACCGUAAGGUGAUGUAUAGGGGCUGACGCCUGCCCGGUGCUGGAAGGUUAAGAGGAGUGGUUAGCUUCUGCGAAGCUACGAAUCGAAGCCCCAGUAAACGGCGGCCGUAACUAUAACGGUCCUAAGGUAGCGAAAUUCCUUGUCGGGUAAGUUCCGACCCGCACGAAAGGCGUAACGAUUUGGGCACUGUCUCAACGAGAGACUCGGUGAAAUCAUAGUACCUGUGAAGAUGCAGGUUACCCGCGACAGGACGGAAAGACCCCGUGGAGCUUUACUGUAGCCUGAUAUUGAAAUUCGGCACAGCUUGUACAGGAUAGGUAGGAGCCUUUGAAACGUGAGCGCUAGCUUACGUGGAGGCGCUGGUGGGAUACUACCCUAGCUGUGUUGGCUUUCUAACCCGCACCACUUAUCGUGGUGGGAGACAGUGUCAGGCGGGCAGUUUGACUGGGGCGGUCGCCUCCUAAAAGGUAACGGAGGCGCUCAAAGGUUCCCUCAGAAUGGUUGGAAAUCAUUCAUAGAGUGUAAAGGCAUAAGGGAGCUUGACUGCGAGACCUACAAGUCGAGCAGGGUCGAAAGACGGACUUAGUGAUCCGGUGGUUCCGCAUGGAAGGGCCAUCGCUCAACGGAUAAAAGCUACCCCGGGGAUAACAGGCUUAUCUCCCCCAAGAGUUCACAUCGACGGGGAGGUUUGGCACCUCGAUGUCGGCUCAUCGCAUCCUGGGGCUGUAGUCGGUCCCAAGGGUUGGGCUGUUCGCCCAUUAAAGCGGUACGCGAGCUGGGUUCAGAACGUCGUGAGACAGUUCGGUCCCUAUCCGUCGUGGGCGUAGGAAAUUUGAGAGGAGCUGUCCUUAGUACGAGAGGACCGGGAUGGACAUACCUCUGGUGUACCAGUUGUCGUGCCAACGGCAUAGCUGGGUAGCUAUGUAUGGACGGGAUAAGUGCUGAAAGCAUCUAAGCAUGAAGCCCCCCUCAAGAUGAGAUUUCCCAACUUCGGUUAUAAGAUCCCUCAAAGAUGAUGAGGUUAAUAGGUUCGAGGUGGAAGCGUGGUGACACGUGGAGCUGACGAAUACUAAUCGAU
rnacentral:rRNA from 1 species